GAUGAACGCUGGCGGCGUGCCUAAUACAUGCAAGUCGAGCGAACAGACGAGGAGCUUGCUUCUCUGACGUUAGCGGCGGACGGGUGAGUAACACGUGGAUAACCUACCUAUAAGACUGGGAUAACUUCGGGAAACCGGAGCUAAUACCGGAUAACAUGUUGAACCGCAUGGUUCAACAGUGAAAGACGGUCUUGCUGUCACUUAUAGAUGGAUCCGCGCUGCAUUAGCUAGUUGGUAAGGUAACGGCUUACCAAGGCAACGAUGCGUAGCCGACCUGAGAGGGUGAUCGGCCACACUGGAACUGAGACACGGUCCAGACUCCUACGGGAGGCAGCAGUAGGGAAUCUUCCGCAAUGGGCGAAAGCCUGACGGAGCAACGCCGCGUGAGUGAAGAAGGUCUUCGGAUCGUAAAACUCUGUUAUUAGGGAAGAACAAAUGUGUAAGUAACUGUGCACGUCUUGACGGUACCUAAUCAGAAAGCCACGGCUAACUACGUG
rnacentral:rRNA from 1 species